ACAGCGGCGUUUUUCACUUUUCACUGUGAAUGAUGACGACGCAAAGCUUGCAAUUUGCAAUACAUGUAAAGCAAAGUAAGCCGUGGGGAACCACCACGACAACGUGGUGAAACAUCGGAGCCACCCCAAGGUGAUGUGAAAAACGUUAACUAUCUUGUAAACAUGACAAAUAUCAAGGUCUGGGAUAUUUGGAUGAUGACUGUUUCAACCUACCUUGAUGGCCACUGGGCUUUUGAGAUACGACUUUUGAGAUACGACUUUUGAGAGGGAAGAAAAAAGUGAAGCAGAAAAAAAUGACCUUUCACAAGCAUAAGUGUUAUUUGGACAACAAAACAUUAAUUUGAACAAACCUUGGUGAACUAAUUACUUUGGAUUAGCAACUUAAUGUGACAUUUUAUAAAAUAACUAACCAUGCAUAUUAUGGAUGUACCUAUGUCAAGACUAUGUAAAGUAAAAUACUAUAACACUGCUUGGUUUUCUGCUAUCAAAAUUUUAAAAAGCAUGCAUUCUGAGAGAACAAAAAUAAUACCAGCUUGAUGCUUCUUAGACUUGUUUGCUAAUGUAAUAGUAUCUUUCUCCUUCAGAUCUUUAUUUACAAUUGUAACCGUUAAAAUGUUCAGAUUCAAUUUGGUGUGACGAUUGUUUAGAAACGUUGCAAAACAGACGGGCUACAAAUACUUUUUUCAUGGCACUGUGCCCUCAUUGACUUAAUAGCAUUAUCUGCUCUAUUUGAACGAACUAGCUGCAUGUCAUCACACGGCCCAUAAAAUUAAGCAACCGAGAAGCAUCUUUUUCUGCUCUCGCUUACUUCUGAGAGUGAUUAAGUGCUAAGUCAAGCCCCCUUGCUGUUUGGCAGUAGAUGGCGAGUCAUAUGAUUCGCCUUCAUAAUCAGAAUCAAAGGAUUCUCUCAGAACCGCUACUUUAGCUGAAAAAAAAAAAACGAGAAGCCAGUCUGCUUUCGUCUACUAUGUCUUCCUGACCUCAUCUUCCCGUAAACUUCAUUAUGUGGGCUUCCAAAUGACAUACACAUAGGCUUAAAUAUGGAAUAUGCUGGAGUGAUUGGGUUAAUUAGCGCAUUCUGUCAUAAAAUGCCCGCAUCAGUGACUUAAACUGAAAAUUGCAGCACUGGUCUGUUACAAUGCAUCAUAUGCUGUCAAAUGCAUUGUUAACUAUUUUUUUCUCACUGCUAACAUUUCUAUUUGGAUGACUUCGGAAUUUGUUUGCUGAAAUGUUAAGAUGCUAAUUCUUUAUUAUAAUAUAUUCUUUUAUUGGCUAGUCUUACAGAUUUCUUUGAGUGAAGGCUCUUUCAGUGUUUUUGAGGGCCUUAUUCUAAGCUGUUUCCAAGCUUGGCACCAUAAUAGCCCCAGGUCAAUAUGAAGAGCACAGUUUGCCUGUCUUUAUGGCCUUAUAAUCGUGUCCAUUCAUAUUAAUCCCUGCUGCUUUACCCUAUUGAUAGCUCGCUAACAAGAUAAAAACAAAUGAAGUCAGAUCAUGCCUUUGCCAAAAUGGAUGAGGCUGGUAUAUCAGGUGCUCAAUAAUCCUUGCAAAUCAGCACUGAAGGUCAGAAUGCAAAAGCAUUGGAUUUUUAAGUGUCUUAUUAGGUUUUAAGAACACAAUCUUUAUCACUGUAAAAUGUAUGUGUCUCACAAGCCACUUGUUGUGUGGGCCAAGAGUGUGGCAUUAUACUUAAUGUUUUUUUUUUCUAAAACAGUGUCAAUAAUAGUAAGCUCAGAUUUUUGAUAAUGAUAUAAAUUUGCUUGUUUGUAACCAUCCAGAUUGUUUAAAGUUUAAUGCAUUAAACCUGGUGCCGCAGGCAAAACUACACUAAAUGUGAGCAAUUUACAAGUCUUGUCACACCGUACUAUGGCAAUUAGCCUUGGCUAAUGUGUAUGGACAGAGUGUGUUCACCUUUUAUUUUUCUGCAGGUCAUUAGUAUUCUGUCCAUUCCCCUGCUCGUGAGCAAGCCCCUUCCCCCUACACUUCUAUAUUAAUAUCAAUAUUUUAAACAAUGGAAUACGAGACGGAACAAUUAUUUUAAAUUGAAUCCUGUUUCUAAUGAGCACAUAUAAGACUGAUUUCAUACUUGCGUGCGAAUAGACUUUAUAACUUCAACAUUCUUCAAAGUUCGCACAAACCGUUCU